UUAAGCGACUAAGCGUACACGGUGGAUGCCCUGGCAGUCAGAGGCGAUGAAGGACGUGCUAAUCUGCGAUAAGCGUCGGUAAGGUGAUAUGAACCGUUAUAACCGGCGAUUUCCGAAUGGGGAAACCCAGUGUGUUUCGACACACUAUCAUUAACUGAAUCCAUAGGUUAAUGAGGCGAACCGGGGGAACUGAAACAUCUAAGUACCCCGAGGAAAAGAAAUCAACCGAGAUUCCCCCAGUAGCGGCGAGCGAACGGGGAGCAGCCCAGAGCCUGAAUCAGUGUGUGUGUUAGUGGAAGCGUCUGGAAAGGCGCGCGAUACAGGGUGACAGCCCCGUACACAAAAAUGCACAUGCUGUGAGCUCGAUGAGUAGGGCGGGACACGUGGUAUCCUGUCUGAAUAUGGGGGGACCAUCCUCCAAGGCUAAAUACUCCUGACUGACCGAUAGUGAACCAGUACCGUGAGGGAAAGGCGAAAAGAACCCCGGCGAGGGGAGUGAAAAAGAACCUGAAACCGUGUACGUACAAGCAGUGGGAGCACGCUUAGGCGUGUGACUGCGUACCUUUUGUAUAAUGGGUCAGCGACUUAUAUUCUGUAGCAAGGUUAACCGAAUAGGGGAGCCGAAGGGAAACCGAGUCUUAACUGGGCGUUAAGUUGCAGGGUAUAGACCCGAAACCCGGUGAUCUAGCCAUGGGCAGGUUGAAGGUUGGGUAACACUAACUGGAGGACCGAACCGACUAAUGUUGAAAAAUUAGCGGAUGACUUGUGGCUGGGGGUGAAAGGCCAAUCAAACCGGGAGAUAGCUGGUUCUCCCCGAAAGCUAUUUAGGUAGCGCCUCGUGAACUCAUCUCCGGGGGUAGAGCACUGUUUCGGCAAGGGGGUCAUCCCGACUUACCAACCCGAUGCAAACUGCGAAUACCGGAGAAUGUUAUCACGGGAGACACACGGCGGGUGCUAACGUCCGUCGUGAAGAGGGAAACAACCCAGACCGCCAGCUAAGGUCCCAAAGUCAUGGUUAAGUGGGAAACGAUGUGGGAAGGCCCAGACAGCCAGGAUGUUGGCUUAGAAGCAGCCAUCAUUUAAAGAAAGCGUAAUAGCUCACUGGUCGAGUCGGCCUGCGCGGAAGAUGUAACGGGGCUAAACCAUGCACCGAAGCUGCGGCAGCGACACUAUGUGUUGUUGGGUAGGGGAGCGUUCUGUAAGCCUGUGAAGGUGUGCUGUGAGGCAUGCUGGAGGUAUCAGAAGUGCGAAUGCUGACAUAAGUAACGAUAAAGCGGGUGAAAAGCCCGCUCGCCGGAAGACCAAGGGUUCCUGUCCAACGUUAAUCGGGGCAGGGUGAGUCGACCCCUAAGGCGAGGCCGAAAGGCGUAGUCGAUGGGAAACAGGUUAAUAUUCCUGUACUUGGUGUUACUGCGAAGGGGGGACGGAGAAGGCUAUGUUGGCCGGGCGACGGUUGUCCCGGUUUAAGCGUGUAGGCUGGUUUUCCAGGCAAAUCCGGAAAAUCAAGGCUGAGGCGUGAUGACGAGGCACUACGGUGCUGAAGCAACAAAUGCCCUGCUUCCAGGAAAAGCCUCUAAGCAUCAGGUAACAUCAAAUCGUACCCCAAACCGACACAGGUGGUCAGGUAGAGAAUACCAAGGCGCUUGAGAGAACUCGGGUGAAGGAACUAGGCAAAAUGGUGCCGUAACUUCGGGAGAAGGCACGCUGAUAUGUAGGUGAGGUCCCUCGCGGAUGGAGCUGAAAUCAGUCGAAGAUACCAGCUGGCUGCAACUGUUUAUUAAAAACACAGCACUGUGCAAACACGAAAGUGGACGUAUACGGUGUGACGCCUGCCCGGUGCCGGAAGGUUAAUUGAUGGGGUUAGCGCAAGCGAAGCUCUUGAUCGAAGCCCCGGUAAACGGCGGCCGUAACUAUAACGGUCCUAAGGUAGCGAAAUUCCUUGUCGGGUAAGUUCCGACCUGCACGAAUGGCGUAAUGAUGGCCAGGCUGUCUCCACCCGAGACUCAGUGAAAUUGAACUCGCUGUGAAGAUGCAGUGUACCCGCGGCAAGACGGAAAGACCCCGUGAACCUUUACUAUAGCUUGACACUGAACAUUGAGCCUUGAUGUGUAGGAUAGGUGGGAGGCUUUGAAGUGUGGACGCCAGUCUGCAUGGAGCCGACCUUGAAAUACCACCCUUUAAUGUUUGAUGUUCUAACGUUGACCCGUAAUCCGGGUUGCGGACAGUGUCUGGUGGGUAGUUUGACUGGGGCGGUCUCCUCCUAAAGAGUAACGGAGGAGCACGAAGGUUGGCUAAUCCUGGUCGGACAUCAGGAGGUUAGUGCAAUGGCAUAAGCCAGCUUGACUGCGAGCGUGACGGCGCGAGCAGGUGCGAAAGCAGGUCAUAGUGAUCCGGUGGUUCUGAAUGGAAGGGCCAUCGCUCAACGGAUAAAAGGUACUCCGGGGAUAACAGGCUGAUACCGCCCAAGAGUUCAUAUCGACGGCGGUGUUUGGCACCUCGAUGUCGGCUCAUCACAUCCUGGGGCUGAAGUAGGUCCCAAGGGUAUGGCUGUUCGCCAUUUAAAGUGGUACGCGAGCUGGGUUUAGAACGUCGUGAGACAGUUCGGUCCCUAUCUGCCGUGGGCGCUGGAGAACUGAGGGGGGCUGCUCCUAGUACGAGAGGACCGGAGUGGACGCAUCACUGGUGUUCGGGUUGUCAUGCCAAUGGCACUGCCCGGUAGCUAAAUGCGGAAGAGAUAAGUGCUGAAAGCAUCUAAGCACGAAACUUGCCCCGAGAUGAGUUCUCCCUGACUCCUUGAGAGUCCUGAAGGAACGUUGAAGACGACGACGUUGAUAGGCCGGGUGUGUAAGCGCAGCGAUGCGUUGAGCUAACCGGUACUAAUGAACCGUGAGGCUUAACCUU
rnacentral:rRNA from 1 species